AGAAGAAUUCACGACAGAAACACUUCUGUUCUGAGCACUUUGUUAUGCGAAGGUGUCUUUUGCACGUCAGCUCUGAAGAAAAGAGAAGGGUGGAUGUGGAAGUAGGAUGAAGUAAGAAGUCAUGAAAGUCCAAAUCAAAGAUCUCCGGGGCGGGGAGCCCCAGACCGCGGCAGAGGCCACACCCAGGAACCAGUCCCGCGCUUGGGAGAGAGGCGCUAGAGAUCGCUGCGUGCCCGGUGGAGAGGAGGAAGGAAUGGACGACCCCCUAGCCAGGAUGGGGACCCCGAAAGCCAGGAGUGAGACGGCCUGUGGUCCCCGGGGCCCCUGCAGAACCCGGUUCUCCCUGCUCGGGGAGAAGCGGGCACCCGCGCCGAGGAUCGUUUCUUCCGCCUCCAAAGACCGCGUCACAGCGGAGAAGCCCCAGAAAUGUUCCCGCCUGGUGAAUAAGCGAGAAUCCUUAGAGGAAAAUGCUCUUCGGGGAACCCCGAGCUACAGCUGACAGCCCGGGGAGCCCCUUAGGAGGGGCUGGCGUGCAGGACGGCCGAAAUUGAUUUAAGGCGGAAGUGAUGUUUGAGGGCUGGCUUUGGAAAGUGCACGGAGUGGGUGGCGUGGAAAAGAGGCUUGUUUUAAAGGCUUAAAAAGAACAUAAAAAGCAACGGAGAAAAGAAAUAAAACACAAAACGAAGCAACAAGUCAAAUAAAAUUUUUCUUGUCACUUCCGAAGAGUUUCUAUCCUCCCAACCCCAUAUUUCAGUGUUCAGAAAAAGAGGAACUAGGGAAAGAGGGAAAGAGGGAAAGAGAAGACUUGAGCUUUGAAAAUGCCAUUUAAUGUCAAAUGCCUCAAGCAAGAUCUAAGUCCAGGAAAAAUUCUUUUAAUCUGGUAUUUUUAAUUAUUUCAAUGUUAAAAAUAAUGUACGUAAAUCUUAUGUACAAGUAGAAAUACUGUAUAUAAUCUGCCAUAAAAUAGCUACAUGCCCUAUUCUUUUUUUUUUUUUUUGGUAUUGGGGAUCAAACUCGGGUCCUUGGGCUUGCGAGGCAGGUGGCAGAACCACUGAGCUAAAUUCCCAGCCGCUAUGUGCCCUAUUCUUGUUUAUAGUUACUAAUAAGAUUUGUGAUCAAGAAUAGAUUGACAAUACAUCUCACCUGGUGUUUAAUCUGGUGCUAUUGAAACAACUUGUUUUUAUUAUUGAUUCCCUUUGUUAUUAAACACAGUCUUUUAUCAACUCUUGAGUAUCUGGCCUAGUUUGGCACUCUGAGGAACAAAACGCCCUCUAGGGGUGAGCUACUCCACCGGUCUGGCCACCAGUGAGGGACAGUUAGCAAAAGGAACGGGACUGUGGCUUUUGAGGAGUACGGAGUUGAACAGUACUUCCUGCCUCCGGCCCUCCCAUGUGCCCCUAUUUUAAAUUAGAUCCUAAAAUGCCUUCAAAAGAUCAUUUGCCCUUGCCUCCUGAGAAGCAGGUAAGGUAGAUAGGUCCCUGUCUUAACAGAUGAGCCAGCUUUAGCCUAAAAGUGAAGGUCAUUCAGUAGUAAUUUCGUAUGCUUGCUAAGUACACAGUGUGGUCAUCUCCCAAACGUUUGUGGAUGGCCUUUGGAGGUUUAAAGAUGACUUAGGAUAUUAUGGGUUUUCUAACCUACAUUUGUGAAAAAUGGGAGAUGGGCGCUGAUGCCCCUGAAUCCUGCAAGGCCUCUUGAUGAGAGUUACCACUAGCACUGGUAACCUUCUUGAGACCCUCACUUAGGAAUUCAGCACAGGAGUUACCUAUGUUCUAAUCUGCUUGGUAGAAAAAGGAAUACCACUUCCGCCACCCAAUUUUUGCUUCCUCUCUUAAUUUCUUCUCCCCCACCCCACCCCCCAGUACUGGGGAUUGAACCCAGUCCCCAGACCUUUUCUU